rnacentral:tRNA from 1 species
GUUUAUAAAGUAUAUUGUACGUUUAAUUUCCAAUUAAAGGGUGAAAUUAUUGUACAUA